UACAGAGGCCUCAAGCGUUGUUCGGAUUCAUUGGGCGUAAAGGGUGCGCAGGCGGUCGGGUAAGUCGGAUGUGAAAUCCUGGGGCUCAACCUCAGAACUGCAUUCGAUACUGCCUGGCUAGAGGAUUGGAGAGGAGAGUGGAAUUCACGGUGUAGCAGUGAAAUGCGUAGAGAUCGUGAGGAAGACCAACGGCGAAGGCAGCUCUCUGGACAAUUCCUGACGCUCAGGCACGAAGGCCAGGGGAGGCAA
rnacentral:rRNA from 1 species